AAAAACUGCUUACUAGAUCUCGUUCAAACCAAUUUUCGGUGGAAGUUUGCAUGUAACAUAAUAAAAUUGCGGUUUUUAUGACGUAUUAAAAAAUAACUACUUACUAGAUCUCGUUCAAACCAAUUUUCGGUGGAAGUUUGCAUGGUAAUGUACAUCAUAUAUUUUUUUUAGUUUUAUCAUUAUCUUAUUUUAGAAGUUACAGGGGGGGGGGGGGGGACACAUUUUACCACUUUGGAAGUGUCUCUCGCGCAAUCUAUUCAGUUUAGAAAAAAAUGAUAUUAGAAACCUCAAUAUCAUUUUUGAAGACCUAUCCCUAUACCCCACACGUAUGGGUUUGAUGAAAAAAUUUUUUUUGAGUUUCAGUUCUAAGUAUGGGCAACCCCCAAAAUUUAUUGUUUUUUUUCUAUUUUUGUGUGAAAAUCUUAAUGCGGUUCACAGAAUACAUCUACUUACCAAGUUU